GUUUUCUCUCUUUGCGCCGCUGUUCAGGCGCCUCGCCUCUCCUAUCCUUGUCUUGCCCUGUGUCCCUUCGUCGCCUCGGCGCGCUCGCCCUUCGUUCAUCGGGCUUCCGCGCGCUCGCGUUUUUCAUUAUUCCUUCUCUGUACCCCGUUUCGAUUUCGAGCGGGGUCAGUUUCUUCUUCACCGGUUGAUUUGUUCUGCUGCUUUGCGUCUCCGUGCUCUCGCAGAUCCCUUGUAGCCGCUUUGCCUCCGCGCGACGCCGGGAGCGAGCCGAGUUUGGUUUGGCCGGGUUGUUCGGUUUGCGGUUUACUCUUUCUGCGAUUAUAGUUUUCUGGUGGAUCCUGUUUUGUUCUCGACUUCUCAGCGUGUGGGUUGCAGGAUUGGGUCCGAUUCGGUGUUGGGAUUUGUUCGUCAUGGCGUCUUGUGGCGAGGAGGUGCAGGCAGGUCAGUCUUCUGUCAGAUCCGGCGGUUCAUUGGUUUUGUCACUGGACAUGGAUUCGGUGGUUUCAGGCUCCAAUGUCUUCUGGUGUGGUACCAUCAGAAUCAGAUAGCGUCGUCGUAGUUUGCACACCAGGACCAGGUGAAUUCGAGACCUUGGGUCCAUUCUUAUUUUAACGGCUGAUCUCGCUUGUGGCCUUUCGGGUGUUCGUCCUAACUUCAGAAGUAGAAGGAAGGGUCCUUGCUGGUUAUGGAGAGAUUAGUUGAAGGGAAGGAGGUUUGCUUAUGAUUCAUUCCUUGUUUUUCCUUUUGAUAUCACCAUAUUGGCGUGAAGAUUGCCACCGGGCUCUAUAAGAUAGUUUACCCUCCAUUGGAAAUGCUGCUGACUGGAUCUGCAGAGGCAACAGAGUUCUGUAAGUAGAUUGAGGCGUUGACUGGACCGAAUUUCUUAGUAUCGGGAGAAGAUCGUUCGGAUAUUGGUUCGCUGCAAUUCUUAUUUUCUUAUAUUGGGGCUGGUAGUUUUCUCCAGCAAUUCGAUUAUAUGGAUGGAUGGGUCGGAGGCGUUUGUCACUAACCAUCCUCUCUCCUGUCUUGCUUCGAAAAUUGGCAUGAUAAGCUUGAUUACCCUUCAUUGGAAAUUCUGCUUGCUGGAUCUGCAGUGGCGAAGGAGUUUUGGAAGUAGAUGGAGGCGUUAACUGGACUGAUGUUCAUAGAUGGAUCCGCUUUUUCGGGAGAUUACUUUCUAUACUCUCCAUUUCGAUUUUGAGUCGGGUCGGUAUCUUCCCUUGUUGAUUAGUUCCGCUGCUUUGCGCCUCCGUGCUCGCAGAUACCUUGGGCUGUUUCGCCUCUGCGCGACGACGUGAGGCGGGAGCGUGACGAGUUUGGUUUGGCUGGGCUGUUCGGUUUGCGGUUUAGUCUUCCUGCGAUUCUAGUUUUCGUGUGGAUCCUGUUUCGUCCUCGACUUCUCAGUGUGUGGAUUGCAGGUUUGGGUACGAUCCGGUAUUGGGAAUUCGUCGUGGCGUCGGGUGGCGAGGAGUUGGGAGGCAGGUCAGUCUUCUGUCAGAUCCGGCGGUUCAUUGGUUUUGUCACUUGGAUAUGGAUUCGGUGGUUUCAGGCUCAAAUGUCUCCGGGUGUGGUACCAUCAGAAUCAGAUAGUGUCGUCGGAGCCUGCACAUCAGGUGGAUUCGAGAUCUUGGGUCCAUUCUUAUUUUAAUGGCUGAUCUUGCUUGUGGCCUUUUGGGUGUUCUUACUUUAGAAGCAGAAGGAAGGGUCCUUGCUGGUUAUGGAGAGAUUAGUUGAAUGUUGGAGGUUUGCUUAUGGUUCAUGGCCAUGGUUCAUUCCUCGUUUUUCAUUUUGAUGACAUCAUAUUGGUGUGAAGAUCGCCACUGGACUUGCUAUAAGCUUGUUUACCCUUCAUUGGAAAUGCUGUUGGCUGGAUCUGCAGGGGCAACAGAGCUUUGGAAGUAGAUUGAGGCGUUGGCUGGACUGAUGCCCAUAGUACCGGGUGAAGAUUGUCAGGAUAUAUCUACCCAAAUCGCUGUUCUAUUGGUUCAUACUCAUUUUUUGUCCGCUGCAGUUAUUAAUUUCUUAUAUUGGGGCUGGUUGUCCAUCUUAUUGGGAUAAGAUCGUUCAAAUAUAUCUACCCAAAUCGCUCUUCUAUUGGUUCAUACUCAUAUUUUGUCUGCUGCAACUAUUAAUUUCUUAUAUUGGGGCUGGUGGCUUUUUCCAGCAGUUCAGUUAUAUGGAUGGAUGGAUGAAUGGGUUGUAGGCGAGUUUGGUCCUGCUUAUGCUUGUGCAAUCAGGAGUUCGGAAUUGUUCAAGUUCCUUGUGUUUGUUCACUUACCCAUCCUCCCUCAUGCUGUUUUCCGAAAAUUGGCAUUGUAGCUAGAUUACACUUCAUUGGAGAUGCUGCAUGUUGGAUCUGCAGGGACAACAGAGUUUUGGAAGUAGAUUGGUGUGUUGACUGGACUGGCAUUCAUAUAUCGAGAGAAGAUUGUUCGGACACGAUCAUGUGGAUGGAUGGAUGGUGUUCAAGUGCCUUGCCUCUCCUGUCUUGCCCUUGCCUUGGGCCUUGGCGUGCUCGCAUUUUCCGUUACUUCCUUUUUUAUACUCUGUUUCGAUUUUGAGCCGGGACAUUAUCUUCUUCACCUGUUGAUUUGUUCUGUUGCUUUGCGCCUCCGUGCUCUCGCAGAUCCCUUUGGGCUGUUUCACCUCCGCACGACACCAGGAGUGAGCCGAGUUUGGUUUGGCCGGGUUAUUCAGUUUAUUCUUUAUUAUGCAAUUCUAGUUUUUGAGUCUAUUUUGUAGUCCUCGACUUCCCAAUGUGUGGGUUGCAGGAUUGGGUCCGAUCAGUGGAGAAUUCAUCAUGAUGACAUGUUGCGAGGAGAUGGAGGCAGGUCAGUCUUCUGUCAGAUCCGGCGGUUCAUUGAUUUUGUCGAUUGGACAUGGAUUGGUGGUUUCAGGCUCAAAUGUCUCCGGGUGUGGUACCACCAGAACCUUCGAUCCAUUCUUACUUUAACGGCAGAGAAGAAAGGGUCCUUGCUGGUUACAGGGAGAGGUUUGCUUAUGGUUCAUUCCUUGUUUUUGGUUUUGAUGUUGUCAUAUUGGUGUGAAGAUCGCCACCGGACUUACUAUAAGCUUCUUUACCCUUCAUUGGAAAUGCUGCUGGCUGGAUCUUCAGGGGCAACCGAGUUUUGGAAGUAGAUUGAGGCAUUGAUUGGACCGGUAUAUUGGGAGAAGAUCGUCGCGAUAUACAUACCUAAAUCACUUUUGUAUUGGUUCAUCUUCAGUUUUUGUCCGCUGCAAUUCUUAAUUUCUUAUAUUGGGGCUGGUGGUUUUUUCCAGCAAUAUUAUAUGGAUGAAUGGAUGGGUUGGAGGCGAGUUUGAUCGAUCUGGCUUACGCUUGUGCAAUCAGAAGUUCGGAAAUGUUCAGAGUUCCUUGUGUUUGUUCACUAACCACCCCCUCUCCUGUCAUUUUUCUUUGAAAAUUGGCAUUAUAAUCUUGAUUACCCUUCAUUGGAAAUGCUGCUUACCGGAUCUGUAAGGGCAAGAAGUAGAUUUGAGGCGUUGACUGGACUGAUGCCCAUAGUACCGGGUGAAGAUUGUCAGGAUAUAUCUACCUAAAUCGCUCUUCUAUUGGUUUAUACACAUUUCUGUCCGCUGCAAUUCUUAAAUGUUUUAAAUUGGGGCUGGUUGUUUUCUCCAGCAUCUCCUGCAAUCAGAAGUUCUGAACUGUUCAGAGUUCCUUGUUUGUUCACUAACCAUCCUUUGUCAAUCUUCUUUGAAAAUUAGCUUUCCUCAUAGGCUUCCAUUUGUUAGUAAAUCUGCGCACUUUUAGGAGACUCGGAGUUCGUCCUAGAUGCAAAAGUACCUGGCUGGUUAUGGAGAGGUCAGCUGAAGGCUGGAGGUUUGACUUUGUUUUUGAUAUGUCAAUCACUGGUGGGUGAAGAUUGCCACCGGAUUAAUUUGAAGCUUGAUCGCCCUUAAUUAGAAAAAUGUUAUUAGCUGGAUCAGGUGGUGUUUUGGAGGUAGAUUUAAACAUUUUGGAGGUGUUUUUGAAGUUUAUUGCAUCUGGAGAACAUCGUUUGGCUCUACCUCUCUUUUAUUGGUACUCUUAAAUUUCUUGUUCCUUACAUUUGGGAUGGUGAUUCUCUACUUGUACAGCAACUGGAUUGUAUGGACGGAGGAGCCUGAAUUAGAUUCUGUUUCUGCAUGAGCAAUAAGUUAUAAACUGUUCAGGAUUCCCUUGGUUUGCUGUCAAGGUUGUUCGAAACUUUUGCUGUCAAUGGUCUUAAAAAUUUACUUCCCUCGUAGGCUUUUGAUGUUCUGGUACUGGAUGUGCAGUUUUGGGAGGCAUUGCUACAGAGAUAUGACUUCCAGCUGAAAUUGUUGCCCAUUGAUACACGCUUUAUCCUGUUCCUAUGAUAUUUGAUGAAUGUUCAUGCUGUUUGUGUUCUCAGUUGUCACUAUCAAAUAGGUAGUUAUCCGAGGGUGGUCUCAUUGAUUGCAGAUCUCUAGGUGAUAACUGGGUAUGAAGGAACCAGUUUGCAUCUAUUCAGACCUACAACCUUCAACUUGCAUUGUGUUUGUUCAGUGUCUUGUACCUUGAAGUAGAUAAUGAUUAGGGUCAUUAUUGCAGGUCUUACUGAUAUUUUUUUUUGCUUGGGCUUGUCAUCGUGGAUUAUGUGUUGGAGGUACUAACUUAUUCUUGUAUAUGAACCAUGAUACUUGUGAGACUGCUUCGAACCUGUUACAUGGUGACUUGAGAGCUAUUGUACCAGCCCUGCUUCAAACUCGUGACAUGGUGACUUGAGACCUCUCUCGCAUUUGUACCAGGCCAGUCCUUUAUGAACCAGAAUACUACGUUAAUAUUCAGAUACUUCUAAUUUAAUCUGCAGUGGUAGAAGGUAAUGAUCAUGUUUUAACUUCAGAGAUUCAACUGGAGAUCGCUAGAACUACAGUACUACAACUUACAUUUAAUCAAGCUUGUUUCUGCUUUAUCAUGCUAUGCUCUGACUGAAGCAUUAAUUCUUGUGCUGCUGGUAUUCUGUGUUCUGCAGACCAUUUAGCUCAAAUAAUUGGUAGUUCAACUGUCAUAAUGUUCGGUUUGGGAUUUCUAUCUGUGGAUGCUUCGUCUGGCUUAUCUAUGCUUUUAGGUGCUUCAUCUGGCUUAUCUAUGUUUUUGCGCUCUCGCUGUUGCAUGUGUUGCAGGAUGUUGACAAUUGGAAAUCCAUGUAGCAAAUAAAUGAUUUUGGAACUGGGGGCAGGUCAGAGUCUAGAGCAUGUUAUGUUGGUUUUGUCACUUGUUUUUGGUGAUUUCAGAUCUGAAUGGCUGACAUUCUGUCUCUCCAUCGAUAUUUAAUAGUAAAGCAAGGUUUGAGACCUGGAUUUAUUGGGUACUGUAGACAUUGGAGGUGGAUUUUCCUCAAUUGGAGAUAUUGGCAAAUUGGAAAAAAUUGUGACUUGACCUGUGCUGCAAAAACCUUUAAACAAGGAGGCUUCUAAUUCAUCUCUAUGAACAGUCCUCUCCAGUUACUUUUUGAACCAGUAACUUUUUCAAGUUUGUGCAGAUGCACACAGAAGCUGAGAGAGAAUUUCCAACAAUUGUUGUCUCCAGAGUCCAUCCUUGUUCCACUGGCCAUUUGGUUCGCCUUGGAUUUGAAGGUUCAUUAAGUCUAUCUAUCCUUGAACCAAAAUAGAAAAAAAAUCAUAGAAGAGUUCUUUGGUAAAUAUAAAUUGUGCACUAAUAAUUUUGCAAGUUGCAUCUAUGGAUACCUUCACUUUUGGUAUCCAGAGAAAACCUGUGCAUUAAAUGUGAAGCUUGAUGACUUGGACUGACCUGUUGUUUGCAUGCUCUGCGGUAGUUAGAUGAUUCACAUGAUCACAACCACGGCGAUGCUGUGCAGAGUUUGCUCUAACUACUCUAACUAUUGACUGCACAUCACCUUCCGGCUCACUUGUUUGAGACACAUCUUAUAAUAUUCUUCAAUCUAACCAGAGCUCACCUAAUACUUCUGCUCAUAUCAGCCAUUUUUUUGGAUCCAGAUGUCUGAUAAGUUGAUGGAUGUUUGGUUGGAUUUCUGCAGUUGGAGCUAAGGUGUGGAUUGCUAGUUAGACAUUCUGAGUUCUAGACAUUUCCAUCUAUGGAGUCUUCCUUCCAGUGAUAAAUUAUUCUAUGCACUAACUUUAUUUUUAAGCUGUCUUUAACCUAUAUGCCAUCAUACGAUGGUGCAGGUUCACUAUUAUUCUUGAUUUAAGAUUUUUAAAACAAUUGGUUCCUAGUAGGAUGUUUUACCUGAGCGUAUGACCGUAUGUUCAUAUUUUAUAGUCCAAAAUUCUCGAUUUCUCUGUUAGGGCCCAUACUAAUGUUAGUCUAGUUCUUGGAUUGCUUCUGAUUGUACUUUGGUAUAACCCCCUUACUCAAUAUGGCCAUUCUUUAUCAAAUUCAUCAUAUUGCACAGUUCCUUUCAGUAAUAUAUUAGGCAUUAGAUAUUAUUAUCAGCAAAUGCUACUUGCUAACCGUAUUCCUUUUUGAGUUGUAAUAUGUGAAAUCUGAGAGAUCGAUCUUGUGGCACCGUUAGUUUUGUUGGUUAUCAUUAGAUUGAUUGCCUGGAACAAAUGGAACACCUCCUCAGUCUGGUUUGUGACGUUGGCCCCCUUGCCUUUUUAGAACAUUGUUCAUUUGUUCUGUAAUUUCCUCACUCUGGACUUUCCAUCUGACGCAUCUUAUCCUUUGUGGAACAAUAACCAAGAAAGAUUCUGCUGCUUCUGUUCCUGCCAAAAGUAAAUCUGUCUGAACAAACUUGUUUGGCUGAACUAUUGUUGCCCUUGAUUACAUAUGUGACUGUCUUGGGGAUGCAACUGUGGAGUCUUUGAGAUGGAACUGUCCUUUGUGGAACAAUAACCAAGAAAGAUUCUGCUUCUUCUGUUCCUGCCAAAAGUAUAUCUGUCACAAACUUGUUUGGCUGAACUAUUGUUGCCCUUGAAUACACAAGCCUAUGUGACUGUCUUGGGGAUGCAACUGUGGAGUCCUUGAGAUGAAACUGGAUUUACACAAAAGUAAAUCCUUUGUGGACUAGCAGUAGUUGCAUAUACAUGGAUGGGUUGAAGUUUAGCCAUCCUGGUUCAUAUUCAUGUAGUGCAGUUCAUAUUCAUGUUGAUAUGCAAUACAGGUUGGUGUUUGUUCAACUUGAAUGCAAGCUAGGAUCGGUUGCUUCUAUUUAUGUAACUCUGUAUUAUCUCCAGAUUAGUAUAUUCAUAUAUUCAUCUUGUUAUAUGGUGCACUAGGAUCUUGAACAAUAAUUUUAUUGGAGCUGGUUGUUGUGGCAAUGGAGCAUCUUCUACCUAGGCCAAAUGAGAUGGAGUCUGUGGCAUGUUUUGGUUUGAGUCCGGUCAUUCCAUGAUUUUUAUUGGAGCUGGUCUUGUGGCAAUUGAGCAUCUUGAGCCUAGGCCAAUCUAGAUGGAGGACUCCUAGUUUUAUUGGCGAAGAUGUUUUUGUGGAGUCCGAUCGUUCCAUGAUUUUUAUUGGAGCUGGUCUUUGGCAAUUGAUGAGCAUCUUCUUCCUUGGCCAAAUUGGAUGGACUCUAGUUUUGGUUUGAGUCCGACCAUAGAAUGAUUUUUAUUGGAGCUGGUUCUUGUGGCACUUGGGCAUCUUCUCCCUUGGCCAAAUAGGUGGACUCACUAAUUUUGUUGGACGAGAUUAACUGUGGAAGGUUUCGAUGUUUUACAAUUGGAACACAUUCACUGUUCAUUCCUGAGUAUUUAAACGCGAUACUUCAGAUACCUUCUCGUACUAGGUUUACUUAUUGAUCAUAAAAAAAUUCCUGUUUUUUUACGUAGCGUCUUUGUUGCUUCUCUGUUGUUUUACACAUGUGCUCUGCUGCUUUGUAUUUUACUGCUUCUUUGUUGUUUUACACAUGUGCUCUGCUUCUUUGUUAUUUUACACGUGUGCUCGAUGUUCAUCCAUAAAAUAUGCUAAAAGAAUAGCUACUUCGUUUGGCGCAAAAACCAGUUACGUGUUUUGUUUAUUUUUAUAAUGUCUGAGAACAUGAUUUUUUUUUUGUUGUAUUAUUUGUGUUCCCUGUUUGUUUGUUUGUUUGCGGUUUAACACUGCCUUUGCCGGUCCCAAGCCCGGAUGCGAAAAUGUGGAGGGAACUGCAGGUUGCUUGGCGAACCGUUCAGGUUUAGUGUUGAGACUUCCUUUUAAGACAUGCUGUGCCACUGAAUGAACGCAUCAUAAUGAACUUGGACAAUUGUCAGGCGCGCAGCAAGUUGCUUACCUGAACCCGUUUCAUCUAUUGAGAUGUGGGAAUUAAAGUUUGAGCCACAGGCACCGGCUGACAGACUUAUCAUGAAAGCGUCUUCGAAAUGGACACCUAACGCGCGUUAAUAUUGUUUAUCUUAAAUUAGCGUACCUCAACGUUAUCGUGGAGAUAAACCAGCAUAUCAAUAGCAGUAUCUAUCCAGCUCCUUUUUUUACGCUACCUGGACGUUUUUAGCUAAUUUUAUCAGACCUAGCAGUAAUCACAGAGCUGUCAAACAAAACUGUCAAACAGAGCAGAAAGAUGAAGUUUUCUGAAACUGAGGAAAUAACCAUACCCUAAAGUUCGCUGCUCGCAGCGUCGGCAUGGUGUGCUUCAUUGAUAAUGUGUGUUCAGACGGGAGAAGGAGAGAAAGCGUGGGGCACGUCACACGUAGGAGGGUGUGUUUGGUUUGGCUUUGGCUUUUGCCUCUCUAAAAGCCAAAAGCCAACCAAAGGGCUGGAUCCAGGAAGCAGCUUUUUCUAAAACCUGACUUUCUCGCAGUGUAAAUCUGAAAGCAUCCCUGGAUCUGCUUUUAGUGGCUUUUCGGA